rnacentral:rRNA from 1 species
UGGGGAAUCUUGCGCAAUGGGGGGAACCCGUGACGCAGCGACGCCGCGUGCGGGAUGGAGGCCUUCGGGUCGUAAACCGCUUUCAGCAGGGAUGAGACAAGACGGUACCUGCAGAACGAAGCCCCGGCUAACUACGUGCC